AAUUUUGACAGCUCGACAACAAAGGACUGGCGGGAGGCUGUGCACAUUUUUAUAAUUAUCUAUAAAUAUGCCCCAUAUUGAAUUGAAAUAUUAUCAUCUACCGAUAAAAUGGUAAGAAAUGAUUAUUAUAUUACAUCAAAAGAAGUGGGAAAUUAGCUCCUUUGGUGCUGUAAUCGAUAUACACGUGAAUUCUGAAUUUCCUCUGUCCUUUGUUCAGAUGAAGGACAUCCUUUUACGAUGCUAUUUGAUUAUUUAUUUAUGUUUUAAGUGAUUUGUAGUGGUUUUUCUGAUACAUUUGAAUACUCUGUAAAUGUAGUUGCAAACUACUUGCAUCUGUCAAAGUAGAUAAUCGGACAUUUUGUUCAAGGGACCGGUGGAUGUUCAUCGUGUCUUAUAGAUUCACAGGUUGACUAGUUGCUCGAUUUCGAUAUUAUGUUUACGGUGCAACCGUUUGGGCAUGCGCUGUCAAAUAUGUUUAUCAUUUUUAUGUGGACAACGUUAUUUAAAAAUCUAUAUAACCAGUGAUAUAAAAUGAUGAGGGUCUGGUUUACAUUCAAACACUAAGAUAUGCUAUACACCUUAGUCUAGUCUCAAAAGCAUUGUGUGACAUACCUCAUAUAUAUAGGGAAAAAGAGAGUAUUUUCACCAUACUUGCCUCGGACUUUCUUUGAAACAUGCUAAACGACCUCGGAGAUAAAGUAUAUUAAUUCACGUCGAGAUCGAGAGUCGCCAUUUUUACAUGUAAACAAACUGCACCACUUCACUUUUACAGGGCUGGUGAUCGUGUUUAAAAGAAUAUCAGAGGCAAGUAAAGUGACGAUAUCUGUAGUAAAUUGUCCGAAGAAUAUUUUGGAAUCAAAUAUUUAUACAGAAUAUGUUUGAAAUUGAGAUUAAUUAGUCCAAAACUAGCGCAUUUUUUUGUGCGCCGUAAAUUGCAGAUUUUUAGUAUGGGAGGCAAUGUAGCUCCCAGGUCGUCCAUCCGAAUUUUUUUCAGACCGGGAGCUACAGACCUGCAGCUAAGCAGAUAUCUGUAUAAAAUCUUUGCAAAAAGCAUCAAACUGGCCCACACCUCAACCAAAAGAGUUAUCAAAGGUUAUUGGAUUUGGAAUGCAGUGAUUUUAAACCAAGUUUCUGGGAUCAAGGUCAUGUCUUUGUUAACAUUUUACUUGACAACAAAAAUGGAGGGUUGAAUGAGCUCCCUGGGUUAAGUGAGCCUAGCUAUAAGACGUACGUUAGUCAUAAUUGAUCUGAUGCAAUGAAGUGAUCUUUCAGAAAAUAGUAAUUACAAUGUACCAGUAUUUAUAUUGUAUGAUAAAAGAAAUCAUUUAAUUGUACACAAAAGUUUAUUUUUGGAGUGAAGUUGUUAAACCUUGAAAAAGCAGUACUCUGAUGAUAUCAUCUUUGCAAGCUAAGGGUCUUGUGAAGGUGAUGAUGUAUAUUUGUCAGUAUUUCUGUGCAUAAGAUAGCUUUUUUAAUGUCUUUGUAAUGUGCACACAAUAUGAUAAAGAUCUGCUUAUUAUAUUAACUGCGACUGUUGUAGACACUUAUUGUCAGGUGUGGAUCAAUGCCAUAUUUCCCAACAUAUUAUAAAGCUGUCUGUUUUUAAGUAGUGCACAUUGAAAGUGGACUUCAGACUUGUUCCUAGAACAUUUUAUGUGGCUGACAAGGGUAAGACUUAAUAAUUCUCUAGCAUACAUUGUUAUAUACUCCCUGCACAGAUUCAGAAAAAAAAAAUCCGGGUGGGGGGGGGGGGGGGUAAGAAAUAUGUAGCAGAGCUUAAUUGGCAUUUGCCAGGGUGGUCCGAGGCACAUUUUUGGUAAAUUUUCUUUGUAAAUUUAAAAAGUUUGACUUUUCCAAGGGGGGGGGGGGGGGGUCCAGACCCACCUGACCUCCCUCUAGAUCAGCAAAUGCUGAGCUAUUUAAGUGCCAGGGUGAUGAGAAUACAUGUACAUGUUAUUGUAUUACAUAUAUGAACCUCUCAAUCAUGCCUAUUUAUUUUGAAUAAGUUCUAUAUCCGCAUCAUAUACAAUGUAAAUUUUGUUUCGAAUGUUUUGCCAUUUUAUUUCGGAUUUCCACCUAAUUCUUGUCCAGAUUUUAGUUAGUUGUUUCAAUAUGCAUUGACGGUUGUGAUUACAAAUCAUUUCCAAUGCUGAUCGGUUUGUUGAAAGUUUUAAGGGGAAUUUAAUCAUUUUGUAACACAUCCACUUUUUGUCAAAACAUAGAUGUUUGGAUUUCCAAUGGUCUUGCCACCCAUGAAACACAGCUGGCAUCUCUUAAUUAAGCACUUCUAUAGGGAUCUAUGUGGUCUACACCCCCCACCCCCACCCCCCAAAUCUUCCUGACGCUAUGAGUUUCUCAUUCCUU
rnacentral:sRNA from 1 species